rnacentral:rRNA from 1 species
AUUAGAGUUUGAUCCUGGCUCAGGAUGAACGCUAGCGGCAGGCUUAACACAUGCAAGUCGAGGGGUAUAAGUCUUCGGACUUAGAGACCGGCGCACGGGUGCGUAACGCGUAUGCAAUCUACCUUUCACAAAGGAAUAGCCCAGAGAAAUUUGGAUUAAUGCCUUAUAGUAUUACGACUUCGCAUGGAGAUGUAAUUAAAGAUUUAUCGGUGAAAGAUGAGCAUGCGUCCCAUUAGCUAGUUGGUAAGGUAACGGCUUACCAAGGCAACGAUGGGUAGGGGUCCUGAGAGGGAGAUCCCCCACACUGGUACUGAGACACGGACCAGACUCCUACGGGAGGCAGCAGUGAGGAAUAUUGGUCAAUGGGCGCAAGCCUGAACCAGCUAUGCCGCGUGCAGGAUGACGGUCCUAUGGAUUGUAAACUGCUUUUAUACAGGAAGAAACACUCGGACGUGUCCGAGCUUGACGGUACUGUAGGAAUAAGGAUCGGCUAACUCCGUGCCAGCAGCCGCGGUAAUACGGAGGAUCCAAGCGUUAUCCGGAAUCAUUGGGUUUAAAGGGUCCGUAGGCGGCUUAAUAAGUCAGUGGUGAAAUCCCUACGCUUAACGUAGGAACGGCCAUUGAUACUGUUAGGCUUGAAUUAUUAGGAAGUAACUAGAAUAUGUAGUGUAGCGGUGAAAUGCUUAGAGAUUACAUGGAAUACCAAUUGCGAAGGCAGGUUACUACUAAUGGAUUGACGCUGAUGGACGAAAGC